CGGCGAUGUCCGAAUGGGGAAACCCAGUGCAAUUCGUUGCACUAUCGUUAACUGAAUACAUAGGUUAACGAGGCGAACCGGGGGAACUGAAACAUCUAAGUACCCCGAGGAAAAGAAAUCAACCGAGAUUCCCCCAGUAGCGGCGAGCGAACGGGGAGCAGCCCAGAGUCUGAAUCAGCUUGUGUGUUAGUGGAACGGUCUGGAAAGUCCGACGGUACAGGGUGAUAGUCCCGUACACCAAAAUGCACAGGUUGUGAACUCGAAGAGUAGGGCGGGACACGUGGUAUCCUGUCUGAAUAUGGGGGGACCAUCCUCCAAGGCUAAAUACUCCUGACUGACCGAUAGUGAACCAGUACCGUGAGGGAAAGGCGAAAAGAACCCCGGCGAGGGGAGUGAAAAAGAACCUGAAACCGUGUACGUACAAGCAGUGGGAGCACCUUCGGGUGUGACUGCGUACCUUUUGUAUAAUGGGUCAGCGACUUAUAUUCUGUAGCAAGGUUAACCGUAUAGGGGAGCCGCAGGGAAACCGAGUCUUAACUGGGCGUUAAGUUGCAGGGUAUAGACCCGAAACCCGGUGAUCUAGCCAUGGGCAGGUUGAAGGUUGGGUAACACUAACUGGAGGACCGAACCGACUAAUGUUGAAAAAUUAGCGGAUGACUUGUGGCUGGGGGUGAAAGGCCAAUCAAACCGGGAGAUAGCUGGUUCUCCCCGAAAGCUAUUUAGGUAGCGCCUCGUGAAUUCAUCUUCGGGGGUAGAGCACUGUUUCGGCUAGGGGGUCAUCCCGACUUACCAACCCGAUGCAAACUACGAAUACCGAAGAAUGUUAUCACGGGAGACACACGGCGGGUGCUAACGUCCGUCGUGAAGAGGGAAACAACCCAGACCGCCAGCUAAGGUCCCAAAGUCAUGGUUAAGUGGGAAACGAUGUGGGAAGGCACAGACAGCCAGGAUGUUGGCUUAGAAGCAGCCAUCAUUUAAAGAAAGCGUAAUAGCUCACUGGUCGAGUCGGCCUGCGCGGAAGAUGUAACGGGGCUAAACCAUGCACCGAAGCUGCGGCAGCGACACUAUGUGUUGUUGGGUAGGGGAGCGUUCUGUAAGCCUGCGAAGGUGACCUGUGAGGGUUGCUGGAGGUAUCAGAAGUGCGAAUGCUGACAUAAGUAACGAUAAAGCGGGUGAAAAGCCCGCUCGCCGGAAGACCAAGGGUUCCUGUCCAACGUUAAUCGGGGCAGGGUGAGUCGACCCCUAAGGCGAGGCCGAAAGGCGUAGUCGAUGGGAAACAGGUUAAUAUUCCUGUACUUGGUGUUACUGCGAAGGGGGGACGGAGAAGGCUAUGUUAGCCGGGCGACGGUUGUCCCGGUUUAAGCAUGUAGGCUGAUUGUCCAGGCAAAUCCGGAUAAUCAAGGCUGAGGUGUGAUGACGAGGCACUACGGUGCUGAAGUAACAAAUGCCCUGCUUCCAGGAAAAGCCUCUAAGCAUCAGGUAACAUUAAAUCGUACCCCAAACCGACACAGGUGGUCAGGUAGAGAAUACCAAGGCGCUUGAGAGAACUCGGGUGAAGGAACUAGGCAAAAUGGUGCCGUAACUUCGGGAGAAGGCACGCUGGUGUGUAGGUGAAGUCCCUGCGGAUGGAGCUGAGACCAGUCGAAGAUACCAGCUGGCUGCAACUGUUUAUUAAAAACACAGCACUGUGCAAACACGAAAGUGGACGUAUACGGUGUGACGCCUGCCCGGUGCCGGAAGGUUAAUUGAUGGGGUUAUCCGUAAGGAGAAGCUCUUGAUCGAAGCCCCGGUAAACGGCGGCCGUAACUAUAACGGUCCUAAGGUAGCGAAAUUCCUUGUCGGGUAAGUUCCGACCUGCACGAAUGGCGUAAUGAUGGCCAGGCUGUCUCCACCCGAGACUCAGUGAAAUUGAACUCGCUGUGAAGAUGCAGUGUACCCGCGGCAAGACGGAAAGACCCCGUGAACCUUUACUAUAGCUUGACACUGAACAUUGAGCCUUGAUGUGUAGGAUAGGUGGGAGGCUUUGAAGCGUGGACGCCAGUCUGCGUGGAGCCAACCUUGAAAUACCACCCUUUAAUGUUUGAUGUUCUAACGUUGGCCCCUUACCGGGGUUGCGGACAGUGUCUGGUGGGUAGUUUGACUGGGGCGGUCUCCUCCCAAAGCGUAACGGAGGAGCACGAAGGUUAGCUAAUCCUGGUCGGACAUCAGGAGGUUAGUGCAAUGGCAUAAGCUAGCUUGACUGCGAGCGUGACGGCGCGAGCAGGUGCGAAAGCAGGUCAUAGUGAUCCGGUGGUUCUGAAUGGAAGGGCCAUCGCUCAACGGAUAAAAGGUACUCCGGGGAUAACAGGCUGAUACCGCCCAAGAGUUCAUAUCGACGGCGGUGUUUGGCACCUCGAUGUCGGCUCAUCACAUCCUGGGGCUGAAGUAGGUCCCAAGGGUAUGGCUGUUCGCCAUUUAAAGUGGUACGCGAGCUGGGUUUAGAACGUCGUGAGACAGUUCGGUCCCUAUCUGCCGUGGGCGCUGGAGAAUUGAGGGGGGCUGCUCCUAGUACGAGAGGACCGGAGUGGACGCAUCACUGGUGUUCGGGUUGUCAUGCCAAUGGCACUGCCCGGUAGCUAAAUGCGGAAGAGAUAAGUGCUGAAAGCAUCUAAGCACGAAACUUGCCCCGAGAUGAGUUCUCCCUGAGACUUUAAGUCUCCUGAAGGAACGUUGAAGACGACGACGUUGAUAGGCCGGGUGUGUAAGCGCAGCGAUGCGUUGAGCUAACCGGUACUAAUGAACCGUGAGGCUUAACCUU
rnacentral:rRNA from 1 species